GUCUACGGCCAUUGCACCCUGAAUGUGCCCGAUCUCGUCUGAUCUCAGAAGCUAAGCAGGGUAAGGCCUGGUUAGUACUUGGAUAGCAGACCUCCUAGGAAUGCCAGGUGUUGUAGACA
rnacentral:rRNA from 1 species